CUCACCUGAGCUGAGGAGAAUCAUUUUAACCCAGAUCAUUGAGACAGCUCCUAUACCGGAUUACCUUUGGCAGUACCCUUAACAGCCAGCCACAGUUGCCAUCUGACUGAGCUACAAUCCAACGGCACCAUCCCAACAGUAACUACCUGGCCAAGUUUAAGAAUACCACCACACAACCCUCCUAGAGGCUCAGCAAACGUGUUGUUCACAAGGAGUUUGAAGUGACAAGGUCCAGCAACCCAGGCUUCUCUGCUUCCUGGUGUGAUCAGCAGAGAAAUGCAAAGAGGCAAGGGAAACAUGACGCCCCAGACCGGAAUCUUUAGAUGUGUCUUCCAAAUAGAAGUGGCCAAGUGCCUAGAAGACUUAAAUGAACAGCGGAGGAUGCCAGUGUUAAGGGAGGAUACGGGCUCGUUUCCAGCAAGCAAUGGGAGAAAAAUGAUGGAAAAUAGGAAGAAGCUCGACUCUGGGAAAGGGUUAACGAGAGAGAGUUUGCGGCUUGAUCUAACAAAGGCUAAAAGAGCAAAUGUGUAACGCUUUCCUCCUGCGGCUUCAAGGCGGCUUAUAUCCAUCUAGAAGUAAAUUUUUGAGAGCCUGGAAAAUCAUUUCAAUACCUCAAAAACCCAACAACUGAUAAGCCUUAAGCGGCAAGGAGAAACUUUUGUAAAGAAUGAACGAUUAACUCUUGAAGGUGAAAUCCCUUUGCCUAAACACAUUUGUAGGAGCAUCCUUUCUCGCGAACCAGGAACUGCUCUCAGCCAAGCGAGCAAGGGUCCCGUCUGUGCAGCUGCAGGAGAUGCGAGCCCUAGGCUGCUGAUAGAGACCAGCGGCACUACUCCUGUCUAUUUUUUUUUCUUCAUUGAAGUCAGGGGUUGAGGGAUAGAAAGGUACUCUUGGCCCCCAAGGUAAGAAUCAUAGAUUUGGUUCUUGUUCCGCAAAUGCAGGGAUCCCAUGGUAAAGUGGACUGGCCGGCUCCAAGCUGUCGCGCUACGCUCUGAGAUCGUCUGUCCCAGAAUUGCCAAAACGCCCGGGAACUUUAAAGAGGACGCCCGAAGCACCCUGAAAGCCACCUGGCCAAUUUGGUGCAACUGUGACUGUUCGUUUUUUCCAUUCUUAGGGGUUUGGAAUCAGGAGACGGGAGUCGGGAAAAGAGUGGAUUGCAGAAGAAUGUGGAAUUCACUGCAAACCAAAAUCAUGAAAAACAUCUAAAUAAAAAAGAAAACUG